rnacentral:lncRNA from 1 species
CCCUACUGGCCAUAGGGUGCCAUUACCAAACAAUAAGCUUUUGUGAGCUUUGUGCCAGUGAAAUGUCACUGCCCAUCUGGAAACAUAUAGUUCUCACCUUCCAAAAGGCCACAAAAAGAAAACCCUUAUAUGACAAAACCUGUGAUAAACCUGUCAGUAUACAGACCAUUAUGUCUGCAUGGUGGAAAAUGUUGGCAUUUUGUCAAUACUGAUGUAAUAUACGGUAACACUUUAUUUUAGGGUCUCUUAACUAGUUGCUUAUUAGCACACAUAUUACUAGAAUAUUAGCCAUUUAUUAGGAGUAAUUAAGCACACCUUAUUCUACAUGACCUUAUUCUAGAAUUCUGCCAAAUACCUAAACUUAACAACUUCCUUACUAACUAUUGAUAAGCAGCAAAUUAGGAAUUUAUUAAGGGGAGAGUCGUAUAUUAUAGUGAAUAUGUGUUCCCUAUUCUAAAGUGUUAUCUAAUAUACUGUUUAGGGAACAUAAUUCAGUACUUGAAAUGUGAUUCUAGUGUUCUGUUUAGUAUAUACUGCACAGUACUGCAUACUGACUACUACCUUUUUAUUUUAAUUGUAGUUUUGGACUUUUGUCACUUAUUAAUCAGUUACAAAAAUUAUAGAAAUGGGGGUGGGGUUGCAGGGCCGUGCACAGACAUUUUAAGGGGCAGUGGCCCAAACCAAAAUAAGGGGUACUGGGGUGUGGGUGCUUGUUGAUACAAAUUGUCCAGUUGUUACAAAUAUACAGUUAAAAGAGAAGACAGCACACUCUAUGAUAAUUUCAGACUUUAUUGUAGAUGUGUUGACUCAUAAACAAACUGGCAAACAUAUGGCUACCACACUGAGAGAGGCGGGGCUAGAUAGGGAGACCACGUUAUCACAUACAUUUAGUGAUUUCACACAUAUCAAUGCACUACAAGAUGUUUUGAUAAGAGUGGGCCCUCCCUCACUCUUUAAAUCUGCUUCUGCCUCAUCUUCAAUGGAAGUGGGGAGAAAAGGGUAAGUUCAGCCAGUGGGUAAGUUGACCCACCCCCUGUGUCUUGGCAAUUGUACACUUUUACUUUCUUGAGACCAUGUACAUGUAUUUUGGAACCACUAAUCAUUUCUGCCAGACUGUGAAAAGGAGAAACACGUGGGGGGAAUGGAAAGCACCCAAUUACUUUAAAAAAUUACAAUUUACUUUUUGGCUUGUCAAUGUAAAAUUUUAGCAUAACAGAUGUAAUGGUUGUUACAUCAAAGCAAAUUUACCCAGAUCUACCACAGACGUUAUCGGUGUUAACGUGCUGCGUUAACGUGAGACUUUAAUCAGGCGAUAAAAAAAAUAUCGCCGUUAAUCUAUUCUCAAAGUUAGGUUGGGAGCUGGGUCUAGACAUAUGAUGACUUUCACCGUGAUAAUUUAGCGCGGAUGUAUACCUAGACGAAUUGCACUGUAGGGUGCGAGAACGAGUCUUCGAACCUGUGUGUGUGCCUACUGUGAAAUUACCAAGCUUCCCCAAAAAAAACUCGCCUGUUUCACAC